rnacentral:rRNA from 1 species
AUUGAACGCUGGCGGCAGGCCUAACACAUGCAAGUCGAGCGGUAACAGGGAUUAGCUUGCUAAUCUGCUGACGAGCGGCGGACGGGUGAGUAAUGCCUGGGAAAUUGCCCUGAUGUGGGGGAUAACCAUUGGAAACGAUGGCUAAUACCGCAUAAUGCCUACGGGCCAAAGAGGGGGACCUUCGGGCCUCUCGCGUCAGGAUAUGCCCAGGUGGGAUUAGCUAGUUGGUGAGGUAAUGGCUCACCAAGGCGACGAUCCCUAGCUGGUCUGAGAGGAUGAUCAGCCACACUGGAACUGAGACACGGUCCAGACUCCUACGGGAGGCAGCAGUGGGGAAUAUUGCACAAUGGGCGCAAGCCUGAUGCAGCCAUGCCGCGUGUAUGAAGAAGCCUUCGGGUUGUAAAGUACUUUCAGUAAGGANGAAGCGUCUAUGUUAAUAGCAUAAUCGUUUGACGUUACUUACAGAAGAAGCACCGGCUAACUCCGUGC